AUGUCUCUUGUAAAGAAAGUCCUUCUUCUGUGUCUUUGUUGUCAGCAAAUGAGAACUAUCUCUUGGCAAAUGUGGAUGGGAACAUCCAGGAAAAGGAAGAGACUGAUAGAUCCACUGCAACAUUGUCUUUUGAAUACACUGCUCCUAUUGUAGAUACUUAUACUGAUGAAUGUUCAGUUGACUGUGUGAAGCAAAGAGAGGCAAGUCUUUUCAUUUUAUUUAAAAUACGUUGUUCUUAUCCUCUUUAUGGAAUGUAGAUGUGUACUUCUUUGGAUCUCUCCAUAAUAAAAUUUAGUGGAAAUAGGAUUUCA
rnacentral:lncRNA from 1 species